GGGAGGACUGGCAGGGGGCGGGGCCUCCUGGGCGACACGGGAGUUGAAUCAAAAUGGCGGCCGUGGGUGUGGGGUGGGUGUGGUGUGCGCAGCGCUGUGAGCGAGGAGGUGGUGUGCCGAGAAGGAGCAGAUGGAAGGGAAAACUACGGAGUUCCAGUCAGGCUUCGCAAGGAUUUAUGUACCUAUGGAUUCCAUUCUGCUUUACAGAGAGGAGGAAUAGAUUCAUGAGAAAGAACUUUCAUUGUAAUCGAAAAAUAUAAAUGAGCCUAUUUGAAAACGCAGUGAAGAACAAAUCCUGGUCCUUUUCCUGCCUCAUCUGGUUCUGUUUCCUGGCUUGUAGCAGUUGUUUGAAGAAAUACUGAAAGUGUGAAAAAGUGAGCAGACUGCUCUUCUAUGAUAAAUGUAACAAGCUAUCUCCAUGUAUUUUUGCUAAGAAUUGGCUUUUUCACAGUAAAGUUUAUAUCAAAUACUGAAACUGCCAUUCAAGACAACACUGGCAGCCUAGUAUCCAACCUCAGUUUAAACAAACCCAAGACCUCCACACCCAGUGUGAUCAGUUCCCAG
rnacentral:lncRNA from 1 species